UACAGAGGUCCCAAGCGUUGUUCGGAUUCACUGGGCGUAAAGGGUGCGUAGGCGGUCGGGUAAGUCUGAUGUGAAAUCUCACAGCUUAACUGUGAAACUGCAUUGGAUACUAUCCGGCUCGAGGAAUGGAGGGGAGACUGGAAUACUUGGUGUAGCAGUGAAAUGCGUAGAUAUCGUGAGGAACACCAGAGGCGAAGGCGGUUACCUGGACAGUUACUGACGCUCAGGCACGAAAGCGUGGGGAGCAAAAGGG
rnacentral:rRNA from 1 species